CGCUGGCGGUCUGCUUACACAUGCAAGUCGAACGGAAUCCUUAGGGAUUUAGUGGCGGACGGGUGAGUAACACGUAAGAACCUGCCUCUAGGACGGGGACAACAGUUGGAAACGACUGCUAAACCCGGAUGAGCCGAAAGGUAAAAGAUUAAUCGCCUAGAGAGGGGCUUGCGUCUGAUUAGCUAGUUGGUGAGGUAAGAGCCCACCAAGGCGACGAUCAGUAGCUGGUCUGAGAGGAUGAUCAGCCACACUGGGACUGAGACACGGCCCAGACUCCUACGGGAGGCAGCAGUGGGGAAUUUUCCGCAAUGGGCGAAAGCCUGACGGAGCAAGACCGCGUGGGGGAGGAAGGUUCUUGGAUUGUCAACCCCUUUUCUCAGGGAAGAACACAAUGACGGUACCUGAGGAAAAAGCAUCGGCUAACUCCGUGCCAGCAGCCGCGGUAAUACGGGGGAUGCAAGCGUUAUCCGGAAUGAUUGGGCGUAAAGAGUCCGUAGGUAGUCAUCCAAGUCUGCUGUUAAAGAGCGAGGCUUAACCUCGUAAAGGCAGUGGAAACUGGAAGACUAGAGUGUAGUAGGGGCAGAGGGAAUUCCUGGUGUAGCGGUGAAAUGCGUAGAGAUCAGGAAGAACACCGGUGGCGAAGGCGCUCUGCUGGGCUAUAACUGACACUGAGGGACGAAAGCUAGGGGAGCGAAUGGGAUUAGAUACCCCAGUAGUCCUAGCGGUAAACGAUGGAAACUAGGUGUGGCCUGUAUCGACCCGGGCCGUG
rnacentral:rRNA from 1 species